AGAUUCCCGUCUGUCCCUAUCUACUAUCUAGCGAAACCACAGCCGGGGAACGGUCCUGGACAAAUCAGUGGGGAAAGAAGACCCUGUUGAGCUUGACUCUAGUCUGGCCCUGUACGGAGACAUGAGAGGUGUAGAAUAAGUGGGAGACGGGUGGCGGUUCCUUCGCGUGCCCGUUGCCGGUGAAAUACCACUACUCUCAUCGUUUCCUUACUUACUCGAUGAAGCGGAGCGCGUGUGGUCCCCGGCCAAUCACGGAAUUCUUGAACCAAGCGCAAGCGGGUCGUCGGCGUUUGGCGACUAUCCCCGAGCGUGAUCCGAUUCGAGGACCGCGCCAGGCGGGGUGUUCGACUGGGGCGGUACAUCUGUCAAAGAAUAACGCAGGUGUCCUAAGGUCGGCUCAGCGAGGACAGAAACCUCGCCCGGAGCAAAAGGGCAAAAGCCGGCUUGAUCUCGAUGUUCAGCACGCAUAGGGACUGCGAAAGCAAGGCCUUUCGAUCCUUUUGGCUUGACGAGUUUUCAGCAAGAGGUGACGGAAAAGUUACCACAGGGAUAACUGGCUUGUGGCGGCAGAGCGUUCAUAGCG
rnacentral:rRNA from 1 species